rnacentral:rRNA from 1 species
UACGGGGGGGGCAAGCGUUGUUCGGAAUUACUGGGCGUAAAGGGCUCGUAGGUGGCCAACUAAGUCAGACGUGAAAUCCCCAGGCUCAACUUGGGAACUGCGUCUGAUACUGGAUGGCUUGAAUCCGGGAGAGGGAUGCAGAAUUCCAGGUGUAGCGGUGAAAUGCGUAGAUAUCUGGAGGAAUACCGGUGGCGAAGGCGGCAUCCUGGACCGGCAUUGACGCUGAUGAGCGAAAGCUAGGGGAGCAAACGGGG